GUGUCAGCUCUGCUCACAACUAGCAUACUGUAUACACGUGCUGCAAUGGUACCCUCAACCGUCGUCUUCCGUGUAGCCUUGUAUAUAGACAGAUCAUUGAUAGCAUAAUUUUCCUACUGGCUGGAUCCAGAGUCUAGACUCUGAGAUGCAUAUGGCAUUGACAGAGACUAGACACAUUAAAUUUUUAUUUUCACUGUUAACUUGGAGCCUUCUGGAGCCAACGGAUUCGCAUCUGGAGCCAAGUUUGGCUUUGUUGCCCCGAGGUGCCGGACACUGACAGUAUUCCUGUUUCCACUGGAACGAGCUCGACGAGCAAAUGAAGAUCUGGAUCUUCACGUGCAGUAGUUACGUACUCGUACACUGCAGGAGCUAAUGGAGAAGAAGAGGAAUCAGUUGAUGACAUUCUAGAGAGAAUCCAAGACAACGAUUCGACCCUCACUGAACUCAAUGUCAACCAUCGUCGAUUGGACAGCGAGACACGACAGCAAUUAGUACGAUCUCUACCAUUCAACACACACAUCAAGAAACUUCUUUUAGCAAACACCCAGAUGGAUGAUAACGACGCAAGAGUUUUGGCGAAUCAUUUGGAGAAGAACAAGACGAUAAGGAUUGUGAAUUUGGAGUCUAAUCGCCUCACUGGUGCUGGAGUGAGGGACAUCAUGAGAGCUUUGGUAAAGAACGACACUGUUGAAGAGCUGAGACUUGAAAACCAGUACAACCCACUUGGAACCAGAACUGAGAUGGAUGUGCAUGACUCGUUUCCUUGAGAAGAACACACAUCUGUUGAAGCUUGGAUUGUCAAUUAAGGGUGGAGUAGCACGUCAGAAGGUCGACACGUAUUUGUUGAGAAACAAUGAUUCAGUUCGUCAAAGACGUCAUCUCAGCAGCCACAGUUAGUAUCCUGUAGAUUUUUCAGUUUGAAUUUUGACUGGUGACAGUAAGAUUGACUUUGAAUGACAGAUUUCUACUAGCUGUGAGAAUGACAAUAGAAUGUAGGGUUUAUGUAAGGUAGAGAGAGAUGAAAAUGCAACACACAAUACACUCAAUGAAAUGCAAUGAAAUGA